GAAAGCCGUGUGCGGGAAAUCCGCAUGCACGGUUUGACGGGGAGUCCGAGACGCUACAACAAUCAAUAUUUAGGCAGCUUGAGUACCGGCGAUAAUAUCUUCCUCAAU
rnacentral:ncRNA from 1 species